UACGUAGGGUGCGAGCGUUAAUCGGAAUUACUGGGCGUAAAGCGUGCGUAGGCGGUUCGUUGUGUCUGUGGUGAAAGCCCCGGGCUUAACCUGGGGAUGGCCAUGGAAACUGGCGAGCUGGAGUGUGGCAGAGGGGGGUGGAAUUCCGCGUGUAGCAGUGAAAUGCGUAGAGAUGCGGAGGAACACCGAUGGCGAAGGCAGCCCCCUGGGCUAACACUGACGCUGAGGCACGAAAGCGUGGGGAGCAAACAGG
rnacentral:rRNA from 1 species